rnacentral:rRNA from 1 species
CGCUGGCGGCGUGCUUAAUACAUGCAAGUCGUGCGAGAAAGUACCCUUCGGGGUGCGAGUACAGCGGCAAACGGGUGAGUAACACGUAAGGAAUCUGCCUCCAAAUCCGGAAUAGCUCUGCCAACGCGGAAUUAAUGCCGGAUGUGGUUGCAUGGUCGCAUGGCUAUGCAACUAAAGGUGACCUCUUCGUUUGAAAGUUACCGUUUGGAGAUGACCUUGCGGCCCAUUAGCUUGUUGGCGGGGUAACGGCCCACCAAGGCUGCGAUGGGUAGCCGGCCUGAGAGGGUGAUCGGCCACAUUGGGACUGAGAUACGGCCCAGACUCCUACGGGAGGCAGCAGUAGGGAAUUUUGCGCAAUGGACGAAAGUCUGACGCAGCAACGCCGCGUGAGCGAUGAAGGUCUUCGGAUCGUAAAGCUCUGUUGAGUGGGAAGAAACGUCUCGGGGUUAAUAUCUCCGAGGCCUGACGGUACCACUCGAGGAAGCUCCGGCCAACUACGUGCCAGCAGCCGCGGUAAUACGUAGGGAGCGAGCGUUGUUCGGAAUCACUGGGCGUAAAGGGAGUGCAGGCGGAAAGGUAAGUCAGAAGUGUAAUCUACGGGCUUAACCCGUAUCUCGCUUUUGAUACUGCUUUUCUUGAGUAGUGGAGAGGGAAACGGAAUUCCAGGUGUAGCGGUGGAAUGCGUAGAUAUCUGGAAGAACACCAGUAGCGAAGGCGGUUUCCUGGCCACAUACUGACGCUGAGGCUCGAAAGCGUGGGGAGCAAACAGGAUUAGAUACCCUGGUAGUCCACGCCGUANACGAUGGGCACUAG